rnacentral:rRNA from 1 species
GAUGAACGCUGGCGGCGUGCUUAACACAUGCAAGUCGAACGGGAAUUAUUUUAUUGAAACUUCGGUCGAUUUAAUUUAAUUCUAGUGGCGGACGGGUGAGUAACGCGUGGGUAACCUGCCUUAUACAGGGGGAUAACAGUCAGAAAUGGCUGCUAAUACCGCAUAAGCGCACAGAGCUGCAUGGCUCAGUGUGAAAAACUCAGGUGGUAUAAGAUGGACCCGCGUUGGAUUAGCUGGUUGGUGGGGUAACGGCCCACCAAGGCGACGAUCCAUAGCCGGCCUGAGAGGGUGAACGGCCACAUUGGGACUGAGACACGGCCCAGACUCCUACGGGAGGCAGCAGUGGGGAAUAUUGCACAAUGGGGGAAACCCUGAUGCAGCGACGCCGCGUGAAGGAAGAAGUAUCUCGGUAUGUAAACUUCUAUCAGCAGGGAAGAUAGUGACGGUACCUGACUAAGAAGCCCCGGCUAACUACGUG